rnacentral:sRNA from 1 species
CAGAUGUUAAAGAAGAUAUCGCAGGACCUAAACUUGUGAUCGUUUGGGGGAGGUCACACACGUUUCUGAGUGGGAAUGGAUGGGCGUGAAUGACGUGCCCUCUUAAAAAGCACAACAAUCCUUUAAGAGGAGCAAAAUUGAGUUUUCCCAUUUCGGCCAAGAUUUUGAAGACAGUUCAAUGUAUUCUACAUUUGACAUAAGAUGAGAACUUUCUAAAGUAUUCUCUCCAAGAGCGUAAACGAUGACUACCCCAGCCCUGCUGCCCCUCUCUGGACGUAGGAUACCACCUCUGAACCUGGGGCCGCCCUCCUUCCCACAUCACAGGGCUACCUUGAGACUUUCUGAGAAGUUUAUUCUUCUCCUUAUUCUUAGUGCCUUCAUCACUCUGUGUUUUGGGGCAUUCUUUUUCCUUCCAGACUCUUCAAAACACAAACGCUUUGAUUUGGGUUUAGAAGAUGUGUUAAUUCCACAUGUAGAUGCCGGUAAAGGGGCUAAAAACCCCGGAGUCUUCCUGAUCCAUGGACCCGAUGAACAUAGACACAGGAAGUUCACAAAUGGGUGCUACCAUAGUAGAUGCUUUGGAUACCCUUUAUAUCAUGGGACUUCAUGAUGAAUUCCUAGAUGGGCAAAGAUGGAUUGAAGACAACCUUGAUUUCAGUGUGAAUUCAGAGGUGUCUGUGUUUGAAGUCAACAUUCGAUUUAUUGGAGGCCUACUUGCAGCAUA